CUGUGAUGCCCUUAGAUGUCCUGGGCCGCACGCGCGCUACACUGAUACGUGCAACAAGUUCUAUCCUGGGCCGGAAGGUCUCGGGUAAUCUUGAUAAUGCGUAUCGUGAUAGGGAUAGAUCUUUGGAAUUAUAGAUCUUGAACGAGGAAUUCCUAGUAAGCAUAAGUCAUCAGCUUGUGCUGAUUACGUCCCUGCCCUUU
rnacentral:rRNA from 1 species